UACGUAGGUGACCAGCGUUGUCCGGAUUUACUGGGCGUAAAGAGCGCGCAGGCGGUCGUUCAAGUCGAGUGUGAAAGCCCCCGGCUCAACUGGGGAGGGUCACUCGAUACUGAUCGACUUGAAGGCAGGAGAGGGAAGCGGAAUUCCCGAUGUAGUGGUGAAAUGCGUAGAUAUCGGGAGGAACACCAGUGGCGAAGGCGGCUUCCUGGCCUGUUCUUGACGCUGAGGCGCGAAAGCUAGGGGAGCAAACGGG
rnacentral:rRNA from 1 species